rnacentral:lncRNA from 1 species
CCUUAUUUGUUCCUAUUUGUAAAUCUCUUGUCUGAUAUAACUGUGUUUGCUAUAUUAUACUCCUGCUGGUUGUUGGGAGGUCUGAAGGAAGUAGAAAGGGAAGUAUUAGUUAGACUGAAGAAUCUUUAGUUAGUUGCCGCUUACGGUUUAGCUUGUUUAUAAGCUUUGAUAUUUUCUGGAGGAAGUUCUAGGAUUGCCUCCGGCUUUCCUCUAUUAUUAUGUAUUAUAUAUGUGGAAGCUGUUACCGUACUGGGGACCUCUGGUUCUCACCCAUGCGGAUUUUGUGGUUUUCAGAUGCAGGACGCGAGGCUUCUCGUUGAGGCAUGCUGGGGACUUCUGGAUUAGCGAAGAUUCUUGUUCUCGGGACUCUAUCUUGAUUUAUAUAUCUUAUUUAGAUACUUUUAUCUCCAUUAAAUAAUACAAACUGUGAUGACUCCUUCUAGAGGGGAUUUUGGAGAUUAGGUUUUCGG